rnacentral:lncRNA from 1 species
GGUACAUAAAGUUACCUUAUUUUAACAUUGGGCCUUAUGGACCGUUCAACUCCCCUUAAGUAAAAGUGAGGAAAGCUCUAGGGUUAACUUUAAUAAGCGGGGGAGGGGGGGGCUACAUUACUUAUUGUUUUAUGGAAUGGUUCAUGUUAUUAUUCCAAGGAAUAAUUCGAUAUUAUGAUUUAUUUAACUUACCAUAUGAUUUCAACUUGUUAGUUGUAGUAAUUUUAAAAUAAGCAAUAAACAGCAAGAAGUAGUAUAACUAAUAUUUUGAGACUGAAAAUGGUGAUGAAUGAGGAAAAUAUGUGAGAUACUUAGGCUAUCACAAGUGACAGAUUUGUUUAAGUGGCUUCAACAUGUGGGUUUGACUCAUGGUAACCCAUGGAAAGAAUUCUUUCCUCCAUUUCAUAAAAUCAGCAUUGGUUACUCAUUGAUAUCUAGCUGGGCAAGUUAUUAAUAUUGUAAGGUUUCUUUGAUAUCAAAGUCUUGGCCAUAGUUGGUUUUGGUGUUUUGUAACAUUAGUGUUAAAUUUGAGUUUUUUAAAAUUAUAAUGUACAAGAUUCUUCUUGUUUCUGUGUUUCAUUAAAACUUAAUGUGUACAAUUUGUACAUAUCGAAGUUGGAUAAUAUAUCGAGCUGAUCGAUAAAACAACCGAAUAACGAUUGUAGGCCACUUAGUAAAGUGUCCCCAAGGUCUAAAACAAUGUCACUUUAAAUGGAGAAUAUCUAUUUUGGGUAAGGUGGUAAUAUUUCAGGUAGUGUAACUCAGAUAGGUUAACCCAGGGGUAAAUGUGUAGUUUAGCCACUUCACACUAUUUGCAAAAUUUUAACUUUACGGUUUUUAGACUAAACAAAUAAAAGUAAAUGUUAUUCAAAAGUCCAGGAUAAUGAUGGCAAUGCUCAGAGUCUUCUAUUUAUGAAAAAAUGGAUGCUCUAUGGCCAGGUUCAAUUUGCUACUUCACAUUUACAAGAAAAAUAAUGACUCAGAAGUUCUACAAAGUUUUGUGGCCAGGACAACUUCGGCGAUGUUUCUGAUGUGUCGUACUUCUCGGAUGAUGAAAACGCUGACCCAACCUUUGUCUUUCCUCCAUCCCCUCGAAUUGGUGCUGUGACAGAACAGGAUGAUGUAGAACAUGAAGAUUGUGAUGUAGAACCAGAGUAAGUAUCUGAACCUCUUAUGCCCGUGGGAGCAUGGGAUGAGAACAACUUUUUUGAACCGCUUCCUCCUGCACCACAGUUUGAGACUGAUCAAUCUGAACACCUUGAGCAAGUAAGGUCAAUAGACAAUUGAAGGGUUGAGUGGAAGAAAGGGGCAAGUCACAUUUUACCACUUUUGAGAAAAAUGGACCUAAAGUUUUUAAGUUAUAACUUUUGUAUUUUUUUAUUUAAUUCAGCUCUGAAAACGGCAUUGGGAGGGAAAGAUACAUAUAUUUUUUGUGGCAACUCCUGGUAAAAAUUCAAAUACUCCUUCCUACUAAAUUUUCAACUUAUCUACCACUUACCCUCUUUUUCCACUUAAAAAGGGGGUACUUGGGAAUGGAAGAAGGGGUUAAGUACUGUAAAAUAAUACUAAGAUAUAUUAUGUAAAAUACAGAACUUUAUUAAUUUGAAAUGUUACCUUAUGGAAUACCUUUAGAUAAGAUUGUUGCACAACAACAAACUCUUAACAGUGUAAAUACUCUUACGAAAAGGUAACUUAUCAGUCUUUUCGUGUUGGUAAUAAAAACUGUAACUAAAAUCUAGUUUUAAAAUACAAAAAGGCUCAAUAUCAUUACUAUUUAAAAGCUUAAAUGAACUUAAAUGGAGAACACCCUUAUCUCAAUGAUAAACUUUAAACUGUAACUAAUAGGCUACUCUUAUUAAAAGGUAAUAUCUAAGUCUUUCUUUUGGUAUAAAACGGUAACUAAAAUAACUAAAACCUAGUCUCAUUCAAAAAGGCACAAUACUAUUAUUGUUUAAACCCUUUCCGCUCGUAUGUCGGACGUCGUCCGACAUUGCUAUUUUGCCGUUCCGCUCGUAUGUCGGACGCCAUCCGACAUUGCAGUGACGUCAGCUUUACUUUAUUUUUAGCCGGCCUACGAUGUUUCCGAUUGGUGCUGCGAUCGCACGGCAUUCUCAGGAACUAAUAAAUUACAGCUGAACUACGAUUAGUCGGCUGCUGAUUUAUUUUGCUUUGUCAUUGUAGUCACGUUUCCUAACCAAUUUUCAGACGCGUUCGCAUUAGUGACUCGAUAUGUCUAUACCAAGUACCUCUUUUCUUUCUGAUUCAGAAGUUAUUGCUGAAUUACUUAAUUAAGGCAAGGAUAAUCAAAUAAACAUACAAAAGCCAACAGUUAUCUGUCAGUAUAACAAAUAUAUGGGUGGCGUGGAUCAAGCAGACCACUAUAUUGCUUCCUACAAAUUUCCCCGUAAAUCUCUGAAGUAGUGGAGAAAGCUAUUUUUCUGGAUGUUGGAAGUGGGAAUAGUAAAUAGCUUUCUCUUGUUCAACACGAAUAAACAAAA